ensembl:misc_RNA Metazoa_SRP Metazoan signal recognition particle RNA
GCUGGGCAUGGUGGCUCGUGCCUGUAAUCCCAGCUCCUUGGGAGGCUGAGGCGGGAGGAUCAUUUGAGGCCAGGAGUUUUAGACCUGCCUGGGCAACAUAGUGAGACCUCGUUUCUA